rnacentral:rRNA from 1 species
GAGUUUGAACCUGGCUCAGGAUGAACGCUGGCGGCGUGCUUAAUACAUGCAAGUCGAACGAAGCACCUCUCCCGUUGAUUGACCUAGCUUGCUAGAGAUUGAAACAAUUGAGGUGACUGAGUGGCGGACGGGUGAGUAACGCGUGGGUAACCUGCCUUGUACAGGGGGAUAACAGUUGGAAACGACUGCUAAUACCGCAUAAGCGCACAGUAUCGCAUGAUACAGUGUGAAAAACUCCGGUGGUACAAGAUGGACCCGCGUCUGAUUAGCUAGUUGGAGGGGUAACGGCCCACCAAGGCAACGAUCAGUAGCCGACUUGAGGGAGUGAUCGGCCACAUUGGGACUGAGACACGGCCCAAACUCCUACGGGAGGCAGCAGUAGGGAAUAUUGCACAAUGGGGGAAACCCUGAUGCAGCGACGCCGCGUGAAGGAUGAAGUAUUUCGGUAUGUAAACUUCUAUCAGCAAGGAAGAAAAUGACGGUACUUGACUAAGAAGCCCCGGCUAAAUACGUGCCAGCAGCCGCGGUAAUACGUAUGGGGCAAGCGUUAUCCGGAUUUACUGGGUGUAAAGGGAGCGUAGGCGGUACGGCAAGUCAGAAGUGAAAGCCUGGGGCUCAACCCCGGAAUUGCUUUUGAAACUGUCGAACUAGAGUGUCGGAGGGGUAAGCGGAAUUCCUAGUGUAGCGGUGAAAUGCGUAGAUAUUAGGAGGAACACCGGUGGCGAAGGCGGCUU